UAGUCUUAGGGCUAUGGAUAUGAUUAGGUUUAGGGUUAGGGCUAAAUUAGGGCUAGGAUUAGAGCUAGGGUUAGUAUUAGGGGUAGGUCUUGGUUUAGGGCCAAGUUUAGGAUUAGGGUUAGGGUAUGGUAUGAUGUUAUAGCUAGGUUUUGGCCUAGGGUAAAGGGUAAAUUGAUGGUUAGGGCUAAUGUUAGAGUUAGAGUUAUGAUUAAACCUAGGUUUAGGGCCAGGAUUAGGGCUAUGGGUUUUGUUAGUGAUAGGGAUAGCAUUAAAUCUAGCUAUAGGGUUAUGGUUAGGGAUACUUUUAGGGUUAGGUUUAUGGCUAUGUAUAGUGAAUGGUUUAGGUUGAGUGUUAGGGUCUGUUUUAGAUCAAGAGUAUUUUUAGAGUUUGGGUCAGGGUCAGGGUUUGUUUAGGUUGAGGUUUAGGUUUAGGGCUCAAAUUAGCUUUAGGUUUAGAUUUAGGGCUAGGGUAAUGGAUAUGGUUAGCUAUAGGGUUCAGGUUUGGUUUAAGGUAAUAAAUAGGUUUAGGGUUAUGGAUAGGGUUAAGGUUAUCCUAGGGUUAGCAUUACAGAUAGAGUUAGGGUAAGCUAAUGAAUAGUAUUAGAGCUAGAUUUAGGCUAUGGUUAUGGAUAGGAUUAAGGACAGGUUUAGGGUUAGGUUUAGGUUAAAGCUAGGGUUAGGUUCGGAUUAGGGUUAAAUUUUAGAUUAGCUAGGGCUAGGGUUAAGGCUAUGGCUAAUGUAAGAACUAGGGUUAUGAUUAGGGCUAGUUUUAUGAUUAG
rnacentral:lncRNA from 1 species